GAAGCACGUAACUCUUCUGGGUAGCACAGCAGUGGAAGCAAAUAAGAAGGCUUACAGCGGAGAAAAUGUGGGACUGAGCGCGGUGGUUCAGCCUGUAAUCCCAGCUCUUUGGGAGGCCGAGGCAGGCAGAUCACUUGAGGCCAGGAGUUUCAGACCAGCCUGGCCAACAUGGUGAAACCCGUCUCUACUAAAAAUACAAAAAUUAGCCGGGCGUGGUGGCACAUGCCUGUAAUCCCAGCUACUUGGGAGGCUGAGGCACAAGAAUCACUUGAACUCCGGAGGUGGAGGUUGCAGUGAGCUGAGAUCGUGCCACUACACUCCAGCCUGGGCGACAGAGCAAGACGGUCUCAAAAACAAAACAAAACAAAACAAAACAAAACAAAACAAAGAGAAAAUGUGGGAUUUUAGAAAUAAGUAAAAGCCUACCAGGCAGUCAGGGGGAAAAGUACAUGCAGACAAACAGGAUUUUCUGCAAAAGCAUGGAGGUGUGAACACGCAGGUAAAGUCUAGACUAAGCAAGGCAUGGUGGCUCAUAUCUGUAAUCCCAGUGCUUUGGAGGUCGAGGUGGGAGGAUCACUUGAGCCCAGGAGUUCAAGGCUGUAGUGAGCUAGGAUUGGGCCAUUGCACUACAGCUUGGGUGACAGAAGAAGACCCUGUCUAUAAAAAGUAAAAGAAAAUAAAAUCUAAACUAAGGGAACAUCAGUACCAAUCAAGAGGUGAAAAAGAAUUGGGAAGCCGGGCGCGGUGGCUCACGCCUGUAUUCCCAGCACUUUGGGAGGCCGAGACGGGCAGAUCACGAGGUCAGGAGAUCGAGACCAUCCUGGCUAACAUGGUGAAACCCCAUCUCUACUAAAAGUACAAAAAAUUAGCCGGGCGUGGUGGCGGGUGCCUGUAGUCCCAGCUACUCAGGAGAGGAGGCUGAGGCAGGAGAGUGGUGUGAACCCAGGAGGCGGGGCUUGCAGUGAGCCGAGAUCGCGCCACUGCACUCCACUCUGGGAGACAGAGCAAGACUCCGUCUCAAAAAAAAAAAAAAAAAAAAAAAAAAGAAAAGAAAAGAAAAAGAAUUGGGAGGCAGUUUAGAGUUAGAAUUUGUAGGAUUGGUUGCGCAUGGUGGCUCACACCUGUAAUCCUAGCACUUUGAGAGGCCAAGGCAGGUGGAUUGCUUGAUGUCAGGAGUUCGAGACCAGAAUGGCCAACAUAGUGAAUCCCUGUCUCUACCAAAAAUAUAAAAAUUAGCCAGGCAUGGUUGCAUGUGCCUGUAAUCCCAGCUACUCAGAAGGCUGAGGCAGGAAAAUUGCUUGAACCCGGGAGGUGGAGGUUGCAGUGAGCUGAGAUUGCACCACUGCACUCCAGCCUGGGCGACAGAGCAAGACCCUGUCUAAAAAACAAACAAACAAAAAAAACAAAACAAAAAAUUAUAAGAUUUGUUGAUCACUAGGAUAUAGAAAUGAGAGAAUGGUAAGAUUUAAGAAUAACUCUGAGUUUGGGUUUAUGAGUAGAAUGAUGGAUGGUAAAGCCUGAGAUAAAGAAUUCAGGAGAUGGAACAGGUUUGCGUGUUGGAUUGCUGAUAAUGAAAUCAAUUUUGCACAUAUAAAUGUUGAAGUAGCUGUAGGUUAUUCGAGCAGAGGUGCCCUCUGAGAAGUAUUGGUCUGAGCCCAAGGGAGACAGCCAAAAAAAACGUAAGUUUGGACAGUUGUUAAGGUCAUGGGAGUGACAUUUUCUGUGGAUUGAGAGAUUCUUGAGAGGUAAGUGAAACAUCUUAAACAUUCUUCCAAAUAAGAGGUAGAACUGCCAGCAAUUUUUUUUUAAUCCAUUGAUCUGUCUUAACGGGCUAGUAAUGGGAAAAUAUAUUGUAAUAGAAAUAGAAAACAUUAGUAAUAGAAAUGGAAUAACUUUAAAACCUAACAGAAAAUAGUAAUAGAAAAAAAUAUAUUACAAUGUGAUCUAAGGUUGUCCUUUGGGUCAAGAAUACCAGUUCCAGCUCACUUGCUGUUCAUGACCCUAGUUCUGAAUCAUUCUUUUCAACCUUUUUUGGCAAUAUCUCACCCACCAAAUCCUCCCUGGAAAUUAGAAGGCUAAAAUCAAUAUGACACUUCAGACACCUCCAACUGAAUUGUCCAAAUCAUUGGACCCAUUCACUAAUUUAACACAUGGUCUGCAAAUUUCAGUUACUGCUAUGGUGGUGAACUAGCAACUGGCUACUGUGGAUGGAUACUUACACUAGAGAUUUAUAAAUGCCAAAGGAAUAAUGGCCACAGUGAAACAUAUGAUUCCUUAUUACCACUAAGAAACUAUUCAAUUUACCCUACAAGUUGAUUGCAAAAGUGAUUUGUUAUUCAAUGCCUUGAGUUUCUCAUUAAGUCCAACGUAAACGAAGAGGUUUAAUAUGUCCUCAAUCUGUCACUCUAUGAGCUGAAGUAGUAUCACUCUCUUUUUAAAUUUUGUAACACAACUAUAAAGUGGCCGAAUUCAAGAAAAAUUUUUAAAUAAAUUUUGUAGACUGUCUAGAAAUUCCAACAUGACACCAAAACCUAUAUAUGGG
rnacentral:lncRNA from 1 species